GAUGAAGAACGUAGCGAAAUGCGAUAAGUAGUGUGAAUUGCAGAAUUCAGUGAAUCAUCGAAUCUUUGAACGCACAUUGCGCCCGCCAGCAUUCUGGCGGGCAUGCCUGUUCGAGCGUCAUUUCAACCCUCAAGCUCUGCUUGGUGUUGGGGCCCUACGUCUGACGUAGGCCCUCAAAGACAGUGGCGGACCCUCUCGGAGCCUCCUUUGCGUAGUAACUAACGUCUCGCACUGGGAUUCGGAGGGACUCUUGCCGUAAAACCCCCAAUUUUUACAGGUUGACCUCGGAUCAGGUAGGAAUACCCGCUGAACUUAAGCAUAUCAAUAAGCGGAGGA
rnacentral:misc_RNA from 1 species